rnacentral:rRNA from 1 species
GUGGGGAAUUUUGGACAAUGGGCGCAAGCCUGAUCCAGCAAUGCCGCGUGCAGGAAGAAGGCCUUCGGGUUGUAAACUGCUUUUGUACGGAACGAAAAGGCUCUGGCUAAUACCUGGAGCUCAUGACGGUACCGUAAGAAUAAGCACCGGCUAACUACGUGCCAGCAGCCGCGGUAAUACGUAGGGUGCGAGCGUUAAUCGGAAUUACUGGGCGUAAAGCGUGCGCAGGCGGUGCUGUAAGACAGGCGUGAAAUCCCCGGGCUCAACCUGGGAAUUGCGCCUGUGACUGCAGUGCUGGAGUGCGGCAGAGGGGGAUGGAAUUCCGCGUGUAGCAGUGAAAUGCGUAGAUAUGCGGAGGAACACCGAUGGCGAAGGCAAUCCCCUGGGCCUGCACUGACGCUCAUGCACGAAAGCGUGGGGAGCAAACAGGAUUAGAUACCCCAGUAGUCC